rnacentral:rRNA from 1 species
AGCCGAACGGCAGCACGGGGGCAACCCUGGUGGCGAGUGGCGAACGGGUGAGUAAUACAUCGGAACGUGUCCUGUAGUGGGGGAUAGCCCGGCGAAAGCCGGAUUAAUACCGCAUACGCUCUACGGAGGAAAGGGGGGGAUCUUAGGACCUCUCGCUGUAGGGGCGGCCGAUGGCAGAUUAGCUAGUUGGUGGGGUAAAGGCCUACCAAGGCGACGAUCUGUAGCUGGUCUGAGAGGACGACCAGCCACACUGGGACUGAGACACGGCCCAGACUCCUACGGGAGGCAGCAGUGGGGAAUUUUGGACAAUGGGCGCAAGCCUGAUCCAGCAAUGCCGCGUGUGUGAAGAAGGCCUUCGGGUUGUAAAGCACUUUUGUCCGGAAAGAAAACCGCCUGGCUAAUAUCCGGGCGGGAUGACGGUACCGGAAGAAUAAGCACCGGCUAACUACGUGCCAGCAGCCGCGGUAAUACGUAGGGUGCAAGCGUUAAUCGGAAUUACUGGGCGUAAAGCGUGCGCAGGCGGUCCGCUAAGACAGAUGUGAAAUCCCCGGGCUUAACCUGGGAACUGCAUUUGUGACUGGCGGGCUAGAGUAUGGCAGAGGGGGGGUAGAAUUCCACGUGUAGCAGUGAAAUGCGUAGAGAUGUGGAGGAAUACCGAUGGCGAAGGCAGCCCCCUGGGCCAAUACUGACGCUCAUGCACGA